UGACGUCAAGGCCCGCUGACCUGACCAAGAGGGCUUUAACUUGAAUGGCAGGAGAGAAAAGGGUUCAACUAAAGCUUGUGGGACAUGUAUGUGCUCGGAAGGACAUCCGGUCUGACGUACAGAGCAGGGCAAGAGGUGCCUAGUACAUUUCCAGGAGAAAUCGCUGGGAAGAAGAGUGGGAACAACAAUCAAGGCCUCCAAAGCCUACGUACCAGUGGACGGGGUGUGGGCAACAGGUUCUCGCUCAGGAACGAAGCAACUGAGUAGCAGCUCCUAGAGGCAGACACAUGGAGGCGAGAUGAAAGGUCCUGCCCGGGUCCCCGCAGUGGCUGAGAACGGACGUUCACUGACGUUUACAUAGCCAGGUCGCAGCUCGAUAGCCUCUCCAGAGCAUCAUCAACGAGCGUCAGUCACGCACACACACUACAGAACAUGAAUAUUACCUGCAGUGAGGCACCAAGAUUCUGUCUUGGUUACAAGGAGCUGGAAUCAUCUAAGACCAGAAUCUGUCUUUCGAAUACAAAGACUCAGAAAGAUCUGGGGACCUAAAGGGAAGGAGAAUGAGAUAACGAAACAUGUAACUUGGCCUUGAGGACACUGGGGAUGGUAGGAGACCAUGGUCAGUGGUGUCCAUCUGCCAGAUGGCAGACACCUUCUUGGGAAUCUCUGCCAUGAAGCCCUGGACUGAGUACUCUGCCCGGGAUGUCCCUGGCUCAUCAAGUUUCCCUGAGCUGAGACUCCUGACAUGGCCAGACCAAGGAGCAGAUGACAACAUGUGCUAAUUCCCUCUGGGGCCCUCAGGAGCCAACUCUGGAGGCAUUCAGCUUUUAACAUGAAAAACAUCAAAAAGUGACAUCUGAAGGACGUGGCCACACUCAGAUGAGUCCUAAGAAGAAAGACCAAUGUACAGUGGCCUAACAUUUCAUUGUAAAGGGCCCUCUUGAUUUUUUCUGCCAUCUUUAAGUCUUCAAAUAAGAGACCAGAUUCCCAAUUCCUGUACAAAUCAUGAAUGCCUGAGGCCACCCAGUUCAUAAUAUUGGGUUGUUGGAAACGUCACUUUUUGUUUUUUGUUGCAAAAAUGCGUCAUGACUUUUCCGACAACCAAUAGUAUCAGGAGAUGACACACCCCCUCUGGACUUGCAGACGAGACAAGGAGAAAGAUGAAUCGAAACCCACAAUGACAAGAGGCAGUCCUCCUCCUAAAGGUAUCCACAGGUUAGCAUCUUGGCAGGAGAUAAACAAAGGCACCAAAAAGCCCUGACAACUGGAAACCCCUCCGGCUGCGGGGGCUACGUCUGAUGAGUGACAGGAAAGGCCUAGUAAUUUGCAGAACUGAAUCUCGGUUUCGUCUGCCCCAGCAUGCCUGAGGGACAAUAUGCUUCCCAAGUAAUAGAGGCUUUCGGAAGCAGGGCUUCUCAGCGUAAGAUUACCACCUCCUCCCUCCAAAAGGAGGCUUACUGGACCAGAUCCUAAGAAUGCGUCCUGGAAGGGCUAAGACUGAACCCUCUGAAGAUGAUCUCCCUCCCCAUUCAGUGUGAAUGUUUAGUAAUACUCAUCGUAGAGUAGUAAACAGUCAGGGUAUGCGCAUGGUACUCCAGGCACUAAAGAGAGUAGGACUAAAUAUUCUCUGCUGUCCCCAAAAUCAGUGACAUCAACAUAUUUCCCACGAUGGGAGAGACUGGGGAGUCAGAAAAACUGCCACUUCCCUCUGAGAGCUAUUCCAGAAGUCAUUUUGGAUUUCAGGAGGUCAUUGGGAAGUGGGUAGGGAGGGAGGACACACUUCAGUGCUAUGCAAGAGCUGGGCGAGCACCACACAUGGGACAGAGAGCUGUACACGCCCUUGGGUAUUCCAUAAGCAAGAGCCCCAUCACCCAGCUCCACAGUCCCAUGCUUCAUUGUAAAAUCUGGAAUUUAUCCAACAGUAAUGUCUUCUUGCAACCUUGUGACCCACCAGACUCUGGAUAUUUGGCCCUGUUUGGGGUCACUAUCAAUAUAUUAGAGAGCCUGGCUUGAAGAUGCCUAUAUUCUGGAAGAGAACUUUGCACUUGUGAGGCAUCAAAGGGGUCUGGGUCAUGAAUAAAGAGACCAGGAAGUGGGUCUAGCUGUCACCACUGCCUCCUGUCUUGGGUUUUCCUGCUGGGGACUCUGCAGUGCACAAAACCAGGCCAGUCCUCCUUGCAACCCUGCUGCCCAGCUGUUUACUGGCUGUGGAUUACUGCCGUCACGUGGCAGUGUUGUUGUUUUUGUUUUUUUUAAAGCAAAGCCAUGCUGCCCAUGAGCUGAGGUCACAGGGAGGCAAGGCUUGUGAAGUAUUUGUGUUGUCAGAGGGGGCACAGCUUGCCAGGAGAUCACAGUACUUUUGCUACGGACUUGCAAUCAGUGCUAGCCAACAGAACUUUCUGCACUGAUGGGAGUGUUCUGUACCUACACAUUCCAUUCCAGUACCCACUAGCUACAGGUGGCUAUUUAAAUUUAAAUGUGAAUAAGUUAAAAUUCAAUACAAAAAUUCAGUACCUCGAGCCACAGUUAUUGAGCACUUAA